rnacentral:rRNA from 1 species
AACGAACGCUGGCGGCAUGCCUAACACAUGCAAGUCGAACGAGACCUUCGGGUCUAGUGGCGCACGGGUGCGUAACGCGUGGGAACCUGCCCUUAGGUUCGGAAUAACUCCCCGAAAGGGGUGCUAAUACCGGAUAAUGUCUUCGGACCAAAGAUUUAUCGCCUUUGGAUGGGCCCGCGUUGGAUUAGCUAGUUGGUAGGGUAAAAGCCUACCAAGGCGACGAUCCAUAGCUGGUCUGAGGGGAUGAUCAGCCACACUGGGACUGAGACACGGCCCAGACUCCUACGGGAGGCAGCAGUGGGGAAUAUUGGACAAUGGGCGAAGGCCUGAUCCAGCAAGGCCGCGUGAGUGAUGAAGGCCUUAGGGUUGUAAAGCUCUUUUACCCGGGAUGAUAAUGACAGUACCGGGAGAAUAAGCUCCGGCUAACUCCGUG